rnacentral:lncRNA from 10 species
ACUGGACAAAACAGAAGUGAACAAAAUAGCCGAAGUUCCCAAUUGUGUUCCUAUGGUGGGAGUAGGGCAGCAAUGGAGACGGAAAGCAAACAAGUAAAUGAAGAAAGAAAAUAUCACUGAGAUGUGCUAAGGGGAGAAUUGAAAGAGGGUGAUGAGGUUGAGUAUAAGGAGCUACUUCAGAUAGGUGGUGUAGCAACCCUGGUUCCAGGAAGAAAAACAGAGGCAAGUCAAGUAUUCCAGGAAUAUUGGGUGGUGUGAAUGUGGGAGGAGUUGGAGAGUGAAGGCCUGAAAAGCUUCAGCUCUAGAAUCAGAGAAACUCUCUGCACUUUCACCUGGAAAAGCUGGAACUCAAAGCGAAGUUCAAGAAGUAGCACAAUACUAGCUCUUUGAGUUGGAUUGUGAAGUGUGUCCGUGAGAGUGGCCUUGUCUUACACUCACGACCUCCCAAUAAUAGUGACCUCAGAUGGGCCUUGUGGCUUGGUGCUGAGCUGAUAGCUGACAAUUUAACACUGAUGAUCAGGAAAGGAACCAUAUCUUUAAAAACAUCAGACAGGAUGCCUUCUGGAUCUUCUGUGUGUAUCCCUGUUUCAUCAGAAGAUAAUUGUUUGAAAAUACACAUUUGAAUGGAAAAACUAGCUCAAAUGAAAGGAGACAACGUCUUGUUUGUCCAGAUGAUUAAUUAACAAAUCUUGGACUUCCUAUUCCUCUCUGUAAUAGCUUCUUUAUUUGUAUGUUAUUGUUAUCUCUCUCCUCUUUCAGAUUUGAAAUGCCAUAUUAAUCAUUUGCUAGACAUACAAACAAAGGGAUUGCAGCUAGAUUAUAUUGAUAGGAUCACGGUGUUUGUGUUAUACAGAACCUAAUCGCAUCUCUCCAUUUUUGGAUGACUUGGCAUUGUCUCACGAAUCAGCUACUUGCAGGAUUUCCAGCGGGCACAGAAACGGGAUGCUUGCCCAGACUUCAAAGUUUGGCAAACAUAAUGAGAUAGACCUUACAAUGGCUGCUAGUGUAUGUAUUUUCAUGGACUCCCCCUACAUCCUGUUUUAAUUUAAACACAUAUGUUCAUUAUUUUUGAAGUACAUGCAUAUGCUUGAAUAUUUAUUUGGAUAUAAACAAAAUCAUUUUCAUCACAAUUAUUUUUUAAAUUCUAAGGAUAAAGUGACACAAAUAAAUCAAUAUUUCAGAAUAUGUACACAGAAUAAAUGGCUAACUGAAAGUUUUGACAGAUCUACAAUAUUUUACAAAAGGAAUGAAAUGUUUGCCUUUCUUAAUUUAAUGCGUGUCCGAAAUAAUGAAGUAGAGGAGAAAAGUGAGUUAAAAUUUCACCGUAUUUGUUGGUUCUUCAAGAACACCAUGCUACCUUUCCUUGCCUCAGGAAGGAAAUUAGAAAUUGUAAAAUGCUGUUGACUUGCAGCCCUAUCAGGAAUUGGAUGUGAUGGAAAAGUGAAUCAUAAAUGGAGAGAUGUAUUUUUUUAAGGAAUAUUUUGUUUAAAAUUCUCAUUUUCUCUUGAUGGCCAUUGCUGUUGCCACUGGCUUCUCACAGGUCUGAUCCUCACACUGCCCUCCGGCUUCAGCUGAUGUUCCCUUUUUUGCAAACAGUGCUUUUCUGAAAAGCUGAAGCCUCCUGCAUCACAUUUCUUUGACUGGCAAAUGUGCUUUCUUUGUUGAAUAAUGAUAAAGUCAUUAAGUCAUUACUUCUCAGCAAUAAGACUCUCUGCAUUCAUACAAGUCAUCUGUAAGACCCACAUUUCUGGACCAGCCUAGACAAUCUCCGUCUAGUGAAUGAAUAAAUUUUGCCAACAGAAAGCA